CGACAGAUAAGGAGCUUGCUCCUUUGACGUUAGCGGCGGACGGGUGAGUAACACGUGGAUAACCUACCUAUAAGACUGGGAUAACUUCGGGAAACCGGAGCUAAUACCGGAUAACAUAUUGAACCGCAUGGUUCAAUAGUGAAAGGCGGCUUUGCUGUCACUUAUAGAUGGAUCCGCGCCGUAUUAGCUAGUUGGUAAGGUAACGGCUUACCAAGGCAACGAUACGUAGCCGACCUGAGAGGGUGAUCGGCCACACUGGAACUGAGACACGGUCCAGACUCCUACGGGAGGCAGCAGUAGGGAAUCUUCCGCAAUGGGCGAAAGCCUGACGGAGCAACGCCGCGUGAGUGAUGAAGGUYUUCGGAUCGUAAAAMUCUGUUAUCAGGGAAGAACAAAUGUGUAAGUAACUGUGCACAUCUUGACGGUACCUGAUCAGAAAGCCACGGCUAACUACGUGCCAGCAGCCGCGGUAAUACGUAGGUGGCAAGCGUUAUCCGGAAUUAUUGGGCGUAAAGCGCGCGUAGGCGGUUUUUUAAGUCUGAUGUGAAAGCCCACGGCUCAACCGUGGAGGGUCAUUGGAAACUGGAAAACUUGAGUGCAGAAGAGGAAAGUGGAAUUCCAUGUGUAGCGGUGAAAUGCGCAGAGAUAUGGAGGAACACCAGUGGCGAAGGCGACUUUCUGGUCUGUAACUGACGCUGAUGUGCGAAAGCGUGGGGAUCAAACAGGAUUAGAUACCCUGGUAGUCCACGCCGUAAACGAUGAGUGCUAAGUGUUAGGGGGUUUCCGCCCCUUAGUGCUGCAGCUAACGCAUUAAGCACUCCGCCUGGGGAGUACGACCGCAAGGUUGAAACUCAAAGGAAUUGACGGGGACCCGCACAAGCGGUGGAGCAUGUGGUUUAAUUCGAAGCAACGCGAAGAACCUUACCAAAUCUUGACAUCCUUUGACCGCUCUAGAGAUAGAGUUUUCCCCUUCGGGGGACAAAGUGACAGGUGGUGCAUGGUUGUCGUCAGCUCGUGUCGUGAAGAKGUUGGGUUAAGUCCCGCAACGAGCGCAACCCUUAAGCUUAGUUGCCAUCAUUAAGUUGGGCACUCUAAGUUGACUGCCGGUGACAAACCGGAGGAAGGUGGGGAUGACGUCAAAUCAUCAUGCCCCUUAUGAUUUGGGCUACACACGUGCUACAAUGGACAAUACAAAGGGCAGCUAAACCGCGAGGUCAAGCAAAUCCCAUAAAGUUGUUCUCAGUUCGGAUUGUAGUCUGCAACUCGACUACAUGAAGCUGGAAUCGCUAGUAAUCGUAGAUCAGCAUGCUACGGUGAAUACGUUCCCGGGUCUUGUACACACCGCCCGUCACACCACGAGAGUUUGUAACACCCGAAGCCGGUGGAGUAACCAUUUAUG
rnacentral:rRNA from 1 species